CUGUGCUGAUUUCAGCAUUAUUUCCAUCUAAGAUCGCAAAAUAUGUGCAGAAUAUAGUGAAUUCCACACAAACUUCAGCUGACGAAUCACAGCAGAAUCAAAACACAGCAGAAAGACAUGAGGUGGAAGAACUGAUCUGAAGACCAUAAAGAAAGUCUGAUUCAGUGGAAUCACAAAUAUAAUCAGCAAAGAGAGAAAAUGAUUGUUCCAGAUAUAUCCCACACCAGUGUUGUCUAUUAA